GGUGAGGCCAACCAGAAGGUUGAGAAGAUAAGGGUGCCCAGGCUCAUGUGGAUAUGGAGGGCGGUGAGGCCAACCGGAAGGCUCAGAAGAUAGGGGUGCCCAGGCUCAUUUGGAUAUGGAGGGCGGUGAGGCCAACCAGAAGGCUGAGAAGAUAGGG